GGCUCAGGAUGAACGCUAGCUACAGGCUUAACACAUGCAAGUCGAGGGGAAACGAUAGAGAAAGCUUGCUUUUUCUAGGCGUCGACCGGCGCACGGGUGAGUAACGCGUAUCCAACCUGCCCAUCACUUGGGGAUAACCUUGCGAAAGUAAGACUAAUACCCAAUGACGUCUCUAGAAGACAUCUGAAAGAGAUUAAAGAUUUAUCGGUGAUGGAUGGGGAUGCGUCUGAUUAGCUUGUUGGCGGGGUAACGGCCCACCAAGGCGACGAUCAGUAGGGGUUCUGAGAGGAAGGUCCCCCACAUUGGAACUGAGACACGGUCCAAACUCCUACGGGAGGCAGCAGUGAGGAAUAUUGGUCAAUGGACGAGAGUCUGAACCAGCCAAGUAGCGUGCAGGAUGACGGCCCUAUGGGUUGUAAACUGCUUUUAUAAGGGAAUAAAGUGGGAGUCGUGACUCUUUUUGCAUGUACCUUAUGAAUAAGGACCGGCUAAUUCCGUG
rnacentral:rRNA from 1 species